GAUUGAACGCUGGCGGCAGGCCUAACACAUGCAAGUCGAACGGUAACAGGGAUCAGCUUGCUGAUUCGCUGACGAGUGGCGGACGGGUGAGUAAUGUCUGGGAAACUGCCUGAUGGAGGGGGAUAACUACUGGAAACGGUAGCUAAUACCGCAUAACGUCGCAAGACCAAAGAGGGGGACCUUCGGGCCUCUUGCCAUCGGAUGUGCCCAGAUGGGAUUAGCUAGUAGGUGGGGUAACGGCUCACCUAGGCGACGAUCCCUAGCUGGUCUGAGAGGAUGACCAGCCACACUGGAACUGAGACACGGUCCAGACUCCUACGGGAGGCAGCAGUGGGGAAUAUUGUACAAUGGGCGCAAGCCUGAUGCAGCCAUGCCGCGUGUAUGAAGAAGGCCUUCGGGUUGUAAAGUACUUUCAGCGGGGAGGAAGGGAGUAAAGUUAAUACCUUUGCUCAUUGACGUUACCCGCAGAAGAAGCACCGGCUAACUCCGUG
rnacentral:rRNA from 1 species